GUGAAUUUUUGGGUCUCUCAGGUGAAUUUUGGGGUGUCUCAGGUGAAUUUUGGGGUGCCUCAGGUGAAUUUUGGGGUGUCUCAGGUGAAUUUUGGGGUACCUUUCGGCCCCCCCCGUGCCAGCCGCGGGUGGAACUGUCCAUUACCGAUUUUUGGUGUUUCUCAGGUGAAUUUUGGGGUCUCUCAGGUGAAUUUUGGGGUGUCUCAGGUGAAUUUUGGGGUGUCUCAGGUGAAUUUUGGGGUACCUUUCGUCCCCCGCGCCAGCCGCGGGUGGAACUGUCCAUUACCGAUCUGGGGGGGUUCCAGAUGAAUUUUGGGGUGUCUCAGGUGAAUUUUGGGGUACCUUUCGUCCCCCCCCGCGCCAGCCGCGGGUGGAACUGUCCAUUACCUAUUUCGGGGGGUUCCAGGUGUAUUUUUUGGUCUCUCAGGUGAAUUUUGGGGUGUCUCAGGUGAAUUUUGGGGUACCUUUUGGCCCCCCCCGCGCCAGCCGCGGGUGGAACUGUCCAUUACCGAUUUUUGGUGUUUCUCAGAUGAAUUUUGGGGUGUCUCAGGUGAAUUUUGGGGUACCUUUCGGCCCCCCCCGCGCCAGCCGCGGGUGGAACUGUCCAUUACC